AUGGGCCGGCCUCCGUUGCAAGGCACCCAACGGCGCACGCACCCUGGAGUCUGCGCCCCCACACCCAGAGAGAGAGAGAGAGAGAAACGUACAGACAAACCGAUCCGCAGCCCCCUUUGCUUUGCUGCCCCAUCCCACAGAAUCUACCAACGGCCGGCAGCUGGCAGCUGCGACUUCCGAGUUGCGAUCACAAUCACACCACAAGGCCAGAGUCAGUCGGUGAGGUCAGUGAGAGGCGAAGGAGGAGAGGAGAAAUGGGAGGGCUCAGAUCGAGGAUCCUCAGGACCUUGCAGUCCUUCCCCAACGCCGCCGCGCAGUCGUCCAACCUCCUCGCGCUCCCUCCCGGUGCCGGCCCCUCGGCCCAGCCGCCUGCGACGCCGUGCGGCCUCCUCCAAGAACCGGCGCCGCAGGAGGCGCUGGUCGAUGAAGCGGGGCCUGCGCCCGAGGUGCCCGGCCGUGGAGGCGAUGACGGCGGCGGCGGCGACGACGACAAGGAGAACGUCUCGCCGGGUAUCACCACGCGUAAGGCCAAGAAGUUGAAGCUCAGCUCGGAUCACCGUGACAAAAGCUCGGGCCUCGGGGCGGAGCCCGCUGAUGGCGACACGCGCUACCGCCGGCCGGACCUCGCCUCGGCGACGCUCUUCGACCCGGACCUCCUCGCCGCCUUCCGCCGCGCCGUAGACGCCUACGCGCGGGCCCUCGAGAUGGCCAAACGCCGCAACGGUGGCGAGGACGAGGACCGGGACGGCGGCGAAGGAGGACCGGGCGUCGCGGAUGAUCCCCUGGAGGCGUUCGAGCUGCGGUGCCCUCCCGGCGGCGAGCGCGCGGUGGUGCUCUACACCACGUCGAUCCGCGGCGUGCGCAAGACGUUCGAGGACUGCGCCCAAGUGCGCCGCCUGCUGGAGGGUCUCCGCGUCGCCUUCCUGGAGCGCGACGUCUCCAUGCACGCUGCCUACAGGGAGGAGCUCCGGGCGCUGAUGGCGCGGGGGCAGGAGGACGCGUUCCCCGUGCCGCCGCAGCUCUUCGUGGACGGCCGGUACCUCGGCGGCGCCGAGGAGGUCGUGGCGCUGCACGAGCGGUCCCAGCUCCGGUCCGCGCUCCGCCGUGCGGCGCGGCGCGGCGCGGGAGAGGGCCCGUGCGCGGUCUGCGGCGGCGCGUGGUUCGUGGUGUGCGGCGGGUGCGGCGGCAGUCAUUGGCUCCAUGACGCCGGCGGCGGCGGCGUCGCGGCCACCGGCCGCGUGCCGUGCUCCGCGUGCAACGAGAACGGCCUCGUGCCAUGUCCUCUCUGCAGCUAGCGGAAGCGUAUAGUAUGUGCACUUGUGCAGCAACUUGAUGAGGGAGGCACAUACAAUUUUUUUUGUUUAUUUUGUCUUGUGUACAAUAUUCCAAUCCUCUAAUCCAUAUUCGGUGUUUGGUUUUUCCGACUAAA